rnacentral:rRNA from 1 species
GAUGAACGCUGGCGGCGUGCUUAACACAUGCAAGUCGAACGGAAAGGCCCAAGCUUGCUUGGGUACUCGAGUGGCGAACGGGUGAGUAACACGUGGGUGAUCUGCCCUGCACUUCGGGAUAAGCCUGGGAAACUGGGUCUAAUACCGGAUAGGACCACAUUUUGGAUGGUGUGGUGGAAAGUUUUUCGGUGUGGGAUGAGCUCGCGGCCUAUCAGCUUGUUGGUGGGGUAAUGGCCUACCAAGGCGUCGACGGGUAGCCGGCCUGAGAGGGUGUACGGCCACAUUGGGACUGAGAUACGGCCCAGACUCCUACGGGAGGCAGCAGUGGGGAAUAUUGCACAAUGGGCGCAAGCCUGAUGCAGCGACGCCGCGUGGGGGAUGACGGCCUUCGGGUUGUAAACUCCUUUCGCUAGGGACGAAGCGCAAGUGACGGUGCCUGGAGAAGAAGCACCGGCUAACUACGUG